GGCUAUGUAGCUCAGAUUGGUUAGAGCACAGCACUCAUAACGCUGGGGUCAUGGGUUCAAGUCCCAUCAUAGCCA
rfam:Picea glauca, whole genome shotgun sequence.